GUUCUUGUAGUUGAAUUACAACGGCGGUUUUUCAUAUCGUUGGUCCUGGUUAAAAUCCUGGUGAGAAUU
rnacentral:tRNA from 1 species